GAAUAUUGGACAAUGGAGGCAACUCUGAUCCAGCCAUGCCGCGUGAAGGAUGAAUGCGCUAUGCGUUGUAAACUUCUUUUAUACGGGAAAAAUAUCCGCUAUUCUUAGCGGCUUGAUUGUACUGUAAGAAUAAGGGUCGGCUAACUUCGUGCCAGCAGCCGCGGUAAUACGAAGGACCCGAGCGUUAUCCGGAUUUAUUGGGUUUAAAGGGUGCGUAGGCGUCCCGGAAAGUUACGGUUGAAAUCUCCUUGCUCAACAAGGAAACUGGCCGUAAAACUAUCGGGAUUGAGUACAUUUGAGGCGGGCGGAAUGUGUCAUGUAGCGGUGAAAUGCAUAGAUAUGACACAGAAAACCAAUUGCGAAGGCAGCUCGCUAAACUGUAACUGACGCUGAGGCACGAAAGCGUGGGGAUCAAACAGG
rnacentral:rRNA from 1 species